rnacentral:rRNA from 1 species
GCUUGCUUCUUCUGAUUUUAGCGGCGGACGGGUGAGUAACACGUGGGCAACCUACCUUGUAGAUUGGGAUAACUCCGGGAAACCGGGGCUAAUACCGAAUAAACCAUUUUGCUUCAUGGCAAGAUGUUGAAAGGCGGCUUCGGCUGUCACUACUAGAUGGGCCCGCGGCGUAUUAGCUAGUUGGUAGGGUAAUGGCCUACCAAGGCGACGAUACGUAGCCGACCUGAGAGGGUGAUCGGCCACACUGGGACUGAGACACGGCCCAGACUCCUACGGGAGGCAGCAGUAGGGAAUCUUCCACAAUGGACGAAAGUCUGAUGGAGCAACGCCGCGUGAGUGAAGAAGGUUUUCGGAUCGUAAAACUCUGUUGUAAGGGAAGAACACGUACGAGAGUAACUGCUCGUACCUUGACGGUACCUUAUUAGAAAGCCACGGCUAACUACGUGCCAGCAGCCGCGGUAAUACGUAGGUGGCAAGCGUUGUCCGGAAUUAUUGGGCGUAAAGCGCGCGCAGGCGGUUCUUUAAGUCUGAUGUGAAAGCCCACGGCUCAACCGUGGAGGGUCAUUGGAAACUGGAGAACUUGAGUACAGAAGAGGAAAGCGGAAUUCCACGUGUAGCGGUGAAAUGCGUAGAGAUGUGGAGG